GUCCUUCCUAUAUAAGGAUUUAUUAAAUAAAUAUAAUUCUAAAACUUCCCCUCAAGCUGGAGUAUAUAUAGCAAAUAUAUCCAGCUUGUUACACAGAGUUAAAAAUACCAAAAGACAGAGAUCUAAUGAAAAUAUCAGCUAACUGCUCGAAUGGAGUGAAAGGUGUUGUGAUGAACUUGUUGCAGCAUAGAAUUGGGAGUCAGAGGCGUCGGGAGUUGUUUGUUGUCGUUAUUUGAGGACACUAUAGCAGCCAAAGAAGAGGACAGAAAUAGCCAGAUUGCUAGAUGGUGAAAGAGGGGGCGCAGAGAAAUCACAAGCAAUGUUCCACUUCCAUGAUUAGUAGAUAGCUAGAAAGAAAGUCAGAUAACCUUCACACAGUAUAGGAAAGAUACCUAUGCUGUAUAGAAGAAGGGAAGAGAAAGAAGAUCAAGAAACAGGGAGAAGAUCAAAAAAUGGAGGGU
rnacentral:lncRNA from 1 species